GCAACCCAAAGAUCGUUGGACAACAGUACGGAGACACAGACUGCUGUCAGACUGCACCAAGACCAUAAAUAAAGUGACCAGACCGCCAGAUGGAUGGGGUC